CUGAUGUCACAUUGACAAGCCAUCGACGUCUGGCUGUCUCUCUGACGAAAGGAGAAUUUUUAUGGAUGAAGAUGUUCAGGGGGUACUCUUAGGACGAGGCGACGGGAAGAACUAAUAGCCUGCGGAGGAAGAAGCGUUGCCUGAGCCAUUCCGGUGCAGGAAAGGCGGAGGGCUCCGAGCCUCGCCACCGGAAACACGCCCCCAUGCCGGGGGAUCGUGGGCCGCGAGCAGACGGAGGCCGUGAGCGCCGAGGGAGGGCCGGUUAGCCUUCCGGGGAAGAGCGACCCCGCUUCCCGCUCGCAGGAGCGCGGCCCGCGCCGUGUUUGCGCGGAGAUGUGACUGCACUCUCAAGAAAAAAAAUAGUGGGUACUUACCCAGUGGGCAAAGAUGCACAAGGACACAGUCUCUGUGGACCCUCCUUAGGACAGAGGAGAAUGGAGAAGGCUUCAGGGGUGAAUCUGAUGGAUUGUUUAUGGUGAAGGGACUGAGAAGUCCACCAUGAAGAUGCUGAUGUCUAGGGAGGUCUUCCUGCUGAGAAGUCCAACACGGAGAUGCUAAUGUGAAGAGAUGGCCUUCUUGCUGCACACACUAUACAAAGAGGCAUCACAUGGGGGAGGGGGAUGCCUGAGGGCAGCUCUCUGAGGCCACUAAUCUCAGACUGGUGGAUUUCUUUGAGUCCAUGGCCAGCCAUGAAUAUGGUCUCCAUGGUGAGUUUCAGACUAGCCAAGACUAC
rnacentral:lncRNA from 1 species